rnacentral:rRNA from 2 species
UACGUAGGGGGCAAGCGUUGUCCGGAUUUACUGGGCGUAAAGAGCGUGUAGGCGGCCAAGCAGGUCUGUUGUGAAAACUGGAGGCUCAACCUCCAGACGUCGACAGAAACCGCUUGGCUAGAGUCCGGAAGAGGAGAGUGGAAUUCCUGGUGUAGCGGUGAAAUGCGCAGAUAUCAGGAAGAACACCAAUGGCGAAGGCAGCUCUCUGGGACGGUACUGACGCUGAGACGCGAAAGCGUGGGGAGCGAACAGG